GAAGGAAAGCAUUGGUGUACGUCCACCGCUGGGUGCCUUGGGUGUUCUAGAGAGGAAUUUAGUGUGCCAGGUACCACGCGUCACAGGUACCACGACACGGGUCAGACCUCCGCCUCAUAUUCACAUUCUUCUUGCCUUAAUUUGUACUAGAGAGUUCAAAGUUCAUUUGGUUUUCGUUCCUUGCUUCAGGGUCAUGGUUCAACAGAUGCCUUGUUGUUACAAGGUCGUGGGUGCGUUCCCCGUACCUGCAAACCACCCUUAUAUGAGCCGAAGGCUCAAGGGCUGCCAAAUCGCCUAUAAGCACCAUCCUACCUCGCACAUCAAACGAAACAAGUGAUGAAGGAUACUAACGACCAAAGGGAACGAUAGAGUUGCGUUGGGACCAUAUACGUUCCAGCAUCCUUGCCAGGCGUUCAGGUUCCCACUUCAUACCGUCCUUCAUGUGCUUGAAGCGUGGGAAAUCCAUAUCAGAUCUGAUUUUGUCGUACACCGGACAGUCCAGCAAAAUGUGCUUCUCAUCCUCGAUAUGGCUACCAGUGCUGCAGCAAGGGCAUACUCGCUCCUCCCUAGGUAUAUAACGCCGUCCCUUACGCGCUCUGUUAGCCGCCAAUGCCCAACAGCAAAGCCUAAACUGCAUAAGCUUGCGAUUCGCUGAACGCGGGAUAAACAUUGUGAUAUGCGGGAGCACCUCCUUCCUGCCCGCUUGUUCGGCCGCCAGACCCAUCUAAUGCUUAUACUUCGCCAUGUGAAUUCCUGGUUGCUUGCCGUCUGAAGGGUACAUGUCUGGCUGGACAUCUAAACGCGUAUGCUUCCAACCACUCACUAAUCGGUCCUUGAACUCCAAAAUCACACCACCUGGCAUUGGCCUGAUCAUCAGCCACUCCACUCGUUCGUCUACCUCAUGUAGCCCUUGCGGGGCCUCUUUCCAUACGUCGUGCCCCAAAAAAACAUAGAAAACGGAGGAGUAGUGUCCCCCAUCCGGCCCCUUCGGGGUUGGAGAGGGAUCCUGCGACCUCCUGUCGCAAAACUUGGUGUGCCACAGACCCACGCUGUAAACGGACAUGGUUCCAAAACCUCACAACCUGCUUGAGAACGUGGUAGUGUAGGGGUAGCUGCGAUAGCUCUGCGAACAGGAGGCGGUGUGUUGGUCUGGCAGCUCCUACAAUUUGCCGCAUGAAAGAUAUCUGAAGCUGCACUGCUCUGUCCUUUAGGCAUGCCUCGAAGGGCCCCUCUGCAAGGUUAUUCGCAUCACUCCGCUUCCUGAGCCUGUCCGAGACCUCAGCUAGCAUAAACGGCCCCCAUGCUUGACAACCAUACAACAGUAUUGCUUGUACCUGCGUAUCGAAAGACUUGAUCCUCACAUCUGGGGCGAACAACUUCAGCUUAUCUAAUUUUGCACUCAACGCGAACAUAGCUGCUCUAGCUGUGUCAUACAACUGCUGACAGCGGGCCCAGAACUGCUGUUCCGGCCCAUACACUAACCCCAGAUAUCGUGCACUAUCAUUAGCCGGUAUGGCCUCUCCAGCCUGCCUGAGCUCAUCACACGAUGCUUAUAAUCAUCACACUCAUAAUUCUGGUAGUCCCUCAGUCCUUCAAAACCCAUGACCUCGCAUACGGCCUGCGACUGCUCUAAAUCCGAGAUGUCGUUCACGUAAGCAGGUAGGUCCAUCGGGGUAGCACGGUUCCGCUCAUGCUGUGCUCCAGACAGAUGUGCGUUAAGGUCCCCGGCUAUCAGUACGUCCUCAUCGCCAAGCCUGAGUUCCGUUAGCGACUGUGGGAUCCUGGUCAAAACGGCUUCUGCUGCUGCAGUGCGCUGUGAUACGGUGCCUCCACCAUCCGGGUAGACCCUGGACGUCUCUGGUGCGAGGUAGCAGGCUCCCAUCAGGAGACUGCUACCUGUAGAAAGGCUAACGCGUGCCCAAAUGACCUCGCACCCUGGCAGCUGGUUGUCCUUGCGCACUACCGUAAUACCCCUCGUGAGUGACUCCCAUACAUACAGCGCGACGCUUCCAUAAUCGGCCCUCAGGGCUUCCUUUGACCUCUCCACCCGGAAAAUACGGAACCCUUCCAAAGCUGUGUCUUUCUCCUCAGUACUGUCUUUCAAAUGCGCCUCAGCUAUAACAACAAUAUCAUGACUCGUGACGAACGACCUAAUUCCUGUCUGGUUGAGCUUGAAAACUCCCGCCUCCAAUAGCCCAUGAACAUUCCACGGUAAAAUCCGUAGCCCUCGGCUCGCGUGCCCCUAGGUGUCAUCCAUUUCGUCAGCGUUAGGGAGGUUUGCGAAGCGGUUUGCCCUGUUACCCGCCAGUUGGUCACGUGCCCUGUCGUCCCUUCCCCCACUGCCGCUUCCUCCUUGGCCCACCUGCCCGUUUCGUGUACUUCCCGCCACGAGUCGGAACCCUUCCGCAUCGACGCCCCGGCUAUCCGGCCCUUGUACUCGUGGAUCGCGUCCGGCUGGCGGUCUGUAGCUCGCUCGCUCCAGAGUGCCUGGUGAAGCCGUGUACGUGAGUCCAAUGGUGCCCUCGGUUCGCAGCUGUUUCGGGGGUUUUGCCUUCACAGCGCUGAGUGUGGUCUCGGGUGGUAUCUUGCUUUUGUUGUUCCCAAUGAGCGCCAGCUCAUGCCCGGGCGGGAUUGGUUCGGGAGGUGGUGGAGGAGGGGCUCUGGCGGUCGGGUUAGCCCCUACUGAGGGCGCUAUCGCUGCCGGCCCUGCCCUUCAGGCCACGGAUGGGGAUAGCGAUGCCCGCACACCACGCGCCCACAAGGUGGUCGCUGGUGCAAUAGCUGCCGUUGGGUUUGCUGCCCCUGCGACGGCCGGAGCUGCAGACCCUGCGGCCGCCAUCUUGGAGCCCCGUACACACCCCUUCCCGGCUGCUGCAGUCGUAGCUGCUGCUGCCACUCCCGAGGUGCCACCUCCGGGGCCCCUGCUGCCGCUGGCCCCUCCUUCUCCACCUCCUGCGUUGCCACCGACAUAUUCACUGCCGUCAGCUCCCUGCUCGGCAGCUGCAGUCCCUUCUCAAUCGCUGUCACCUCCGUCGGCACCGUACUCCGCGCUGCCCAGGUCGCUGUCGGUAUCAUUCCGGGUCCCAUACGGCUGCGCUUUUCCGCCUGGUCGCUCCUUUAUGUAUAUGUAGAUGCCUUGUGACAUGACUAGCAACAGAAGUUGUCCAAAUUGUUUUCCAUGACAAAUGGCAAACAUAUAACAUAUAAUGUUAUGCCAUUUCCGUUCCAUUGCGGUGUUGCCUCCUUAACUUUGAUACAUGGCUGCCGUCGGGGUCAGAUGGCACACACUCAAUUCCGAAAAGUACGCAUCUCACUCGCGAAAUAUUAAUACUUUUAUGUGCAAGCUUCUAUUUGGAACAAUUUGCGACGGUUGGCGUUGACAUCUCGGAGGGGUCUCAGGGUGGUCUCACCCCUUUCCAUAACAGUAUUUGCUGAUGGUCCUUCUGGUGCGGUUCCAGGGACUUUUGCAAAUUGGGGAGCUAAUGGCAAACUCCCUAGUGGGUUCUGAGCCUUCCCUUGGAUUUGCUCUUGGCUGUCUAGGUGAAUUGCGUUGCCUGGUCUGGGUGGGAGUCUUGCUUGCCCUCAUCCUAUCAGGUGCAGUGCAUGGCCGCUCUCUGUGCGUCUGGAGCCCACUGUAACACUGCCCCGAGGCAUCCCUGGCCCCGACGGUAAACUAAAUGGUGCUAGCCUAGUCCGUGCCCAACCCCCCAUCGCGUGCCCGCCCCCCAUCACCCUGCAACAGAGAAUCGGGUGAAGGGCCUUGCGCCUUAAUAGGGAGGGGUAGGGUAUGUGCAGGGUUUUCGGGUUUCCUCAGUCUUAGUGAACCCCAAGAGCCGGAUCAGGCCGGGGAUGGAGAGUAGUCUUGUUGUGUGUGUAUGUGUGUUACAUGGCUGGGGGUGCGUGACCCCAUACCUGUAAAACUACCCAUACGAGCCGGACGCCCAAGGGCACAACGCCUAAAAGCCACGGAGAACAGGAAACACCGUACAUCAGCCCAGACUAGCGUCCAAAAGGGGUAACUGAGUCCACAUACGUUCCAACAUCCUCGCCAGACGUACUGGUUCCCAUUUCAUGGCCUCCAACAUGCUCUGUUGAUGAUCGAAUCCCUCUUCAGCACUAAUAUCAUUAUAGGCUGGGCAUUCCAAUAACACGUGUUUUUCAUCUGCAUUAGCUUACGAUGUGCUAAACGAGGAAUGAAAACCUUAGCAUGUGUUGGCCACAUAACGGCUGCAGCUGCCGAAAAGGGCAGCCCCAUCCAGUUCCUCCUUCGCCAUUUGCACUCCUGGUUGCUUCCCAUCUGAUGGGUACUCCUCUGGCAAGACAGUCAGACGCGUAUGGUCCCAGCCGCUCAUCAAACGCUCUCUUAGUGCCGUUAUCAUCGCUCCUUCGGGUAGAGGCCUACUCAACAACCAGUCAACACGCUCCUUUACCCCCAUGACUUCUUGCGGUAUUCCACUCCAAAUAUUGCACUCCAAGAAGGAAAACAGUCGUAACAUUGAGAUUCCCCAACCCUCCCACUCCGGGUUGGUCAGGGCAUCAGUUAUCUCCUGCCGUAAAACUGCAUGAGCAAUGGACCCCACUUGUUUUUGAAGGCUAUCUUGUUGUGUGUUUCAGGCUCAGUGCACAAACUCGCGUGACAGAGCCUCUUGACUCGUGAGAGAGUACGCCCGUGUGACGCCUCCCACCCCCGGGGGAGGAGAGCUGAAUUAGCAUGCGACGCCUCCCACCCCCGCGGGAGGAGAGCUGAAUUAGCAUGCGACGCCUCCCACCCCCGGGGGAGGAGAGCGGAACUAGCAUGCGACGCCUCCCACCCCCGGGGGACGACAACGGAACUAGCAUGCGACGCCUCCCACCCCCGGGGGACGACAACGGAACUAGCAUGCGACGCCUCCCACCCCCGGGGGACGACAACGGAACUAUCGGACCUGCGGCUCUCGGCUGUUUAGGUGGGGACAGAGGCCCCUUACACCCCUCUCCUGUCUGCGGGAGAGAGCUUAGGUGGUCUUUCCAUUGGGGCUGGGCAGUAGUCCCUGGGCAGUCUCAGGCCUGGUCAGAUACUUGUGUGUGCGUUACAUGGUCGUGGGUGCGUUCCCCCUACCUGCAAACCGCCCCAAUACGAGCCGAGGGCUCAAGGGCUGCCAGAUCGCCUAUAAGCACCAUCCUACCUCGCACUUCCAACGAAACAAGUGAUGAAGGAUACUAACGACCAAAGGGAACGAUAGAGUUGCGGUGGGACCAUAUACGUUCCAGCAUCCUUGCCAGGCGUUCAGGUUCCCACUUCAUGGGAAAUCCGUAUCAGAUCUGAUUUUGUCGUACACCGGACAGUCCAGCAAAACGUCCUGCUCAUCUUCAAUAAGGCUAUCAGUGCCGCAACAGGGACAUACUCGCUCCACCGAAGGUAUAUAACGCCGUCCCUUGUGCGCUCCGUUCACCGCCAAUGCCCAGCAGCCUAAACUGCAUAAGCUUGCGAUUCGCUGUAUGCGGGAUAAACAUUGUGAUAUGCGGGAGGAGCGCUCCUAGCCCGCGGUAUCAAGUUGACCAGUAUCGUGAAGGCAUUUGCCACCUUUUCUGUUUCACACAGCACGCCCGCGGCGACACCUGGCCCAGACGAGGCCCCUCACGCGCUCGGAAAUUCGGAAUUUGACCCCAUGAAUUCCCAAGCAAAUCCGGGUCAAAUCCCAUCGGGAUUUGAGGAUUUGAACCCCAAAACAAUAAGCAAUAUAAUGGUCAUGCAAAGAUUUCCUCGGGCCUGGAAUUUGACGCAUUUGAGAAUUUGAACCCCCCAAAACAAUUAUCAUGGCCAUGCAAACAAUUCCAUGAGCAGCCGUUACAAUAUAUUGCAUAUCUUCGAGCGGCAUGUUAUGCUCGUGCCAGUCAGUCCUCGCGCCGCAUGCCUUCAAACAUUUAGUUAUUCCUCCAAAGCCGGCGCUCACCGCAAAGAGCGAUGUCAGACAGCGGCGACGGACGGGCUAACAAACACCGAAAGGCUCAACCAGGUACCCUUGAUGAACUGAAUCGGCACGUGCAACAGUUAGGCAAGAAAACGAAUACAAACUGUACUUUUUC
rnacentral:lncRNA from 1 species